AUUGAACGCUGGCGGCAGGCCUAACGCAUGCAAGUCGGGCGGAUGAAGGGAGCUUGCUCCUGGAUUCAGCGGCGGACGGGUGAGUAAUGCCUAGGAAUCUGCCUGGUAGUGGGGGAUAACGUCCGGAAACGGGCGCUAAUACCGCAUACGUCCUGAGGGAGAAAGUGGGGGAUCUUCGGACCUCACGCUAUCAGAUGAGCCUAGGUCGGAUUAGCUAGUUGGUGGGGUAGAGGCCUACCAAGGCGACGAUCCGUAACUGGUCUGAGAGGAUGAUCAGUCACACUGGAACUGAGACACGGUCCAGACUCCUACGGGAGGCAGCAGUGGGGAAUAUUGGACAAUGGGCGAAAGCCUGAUCCAGCCAUGCCGCGUGUGUGAAGAAGGUCUUCGGAUUGUAAAGCACUUUAAGUUGGGAGGAAGGGCAGUAAGUUGAUACCUUGCUGUUUUGACGUUACCAACAGAAUAAGCACCGGCUAACUUCGUG
rnacentral:rRNA from 1 species